rnacentral:rRNA from 1 species
GAUGAACGCUGGCGGCGUGCCUAAUACAUGCAAGUCGAGCGAACGGACGAGAAGCUUGCUUCUCUGAUGUUAGCGGCGGACGGGUGAGUAACACGUGGAUAACCUACCUAUAAGACUGGGAUAACUUCGGGAAACCGGAGCUAAUACCGGAUAAUAUUUUGAACCGCAUGGUUCAAAAGUGAAAGACGGUCUUGCUGUCACUUAUAGAUGGAUCCGCGCUGCAUUAGCUAGUUGGUAAGGUAACGGCUUACCAAGGCAACGAUGCAUAGCCGACCUGAGAGGGUGAUCGGCCACACUAGAACUGAGACACGGUCCAGACUCAUACGGGAGGCAGCAGUAGGGAAUCUUCCGCGAUGGGCGAAAGCCUGACGGAGCAACGCCGCGUGAGUGAUGAAGGUCUUCGGAUCGUAAAACUCUGUUAUUAGGGAAGAACAUAUGUGUAAGUAACUGUGCACAUCUUGACGGUACCUAAUCAGAGAGCCACGGCUAACUACGUG